CACCGGGCUGGCGGAGUAGGCA
rnacentral:miRNA from 1 species